rnacentral:rRNA from 1 species
AGGCCAGACUCCUACGGGAGGCAGCAGUGAGGAAUAUUGGUCAAUGGGCGAGAGCCUGAACCAGCCAAGUCGCGUGAGGGAGGACGGCCCUACGGGUUGUAAACCUCUUUUGCCGGGGGACAAACGGCGGCACGCGUGCCGUCCUGAGGGUACCCGGAGAAAAAGCAUCGGCUAACUCCGUGCCAGCAGCCGCGGUAAUACGGAGGAUGCGAGCGUUAUCCGGAUUUAUUGGGUUUAAAGGUGCGUAGGCGGGAUGCCAAGUCAGCGGUCAAAUACGGGGGCUCAACCCCAUCCAGCCGUUGAAACUGGGGAUCUAGAGUGUGCGAGAGGUAUGCGGAAUGCGUGGUGUAGCGGUGAAAUGCAUAGAUAUCGCGCAGAACCCCGAUUGCGAAGGCAGCAUACCGGUGCACAACUGACGCUCAGGCACGAAAGCGUGGGUAUCGAACAGGAUUAGAUACCCUGGUA